rnacentral:rRNA from 1 species
ACGGGUGAGUAACGCGUGGGAAUCUGCCCAUCUCUACGGAACAACUCCGGGAAACUGGAGCUAAUACCGUAUACGUCCUUUUGGAGAAAGAUUUAUCGGAGAUGGAUGAGCCCGCGUUGGAUUAGCUAGUUGGUGGGGUAAUGGCCUACCAAGGCGACGAUCCAUAGCUGGUCUGAGAGGAUGAUCAGCCACACUGGGACUGAGACACGGCCCAGACUCCUACGGGAGGCAGCAGUGGGGAAUAUUGGACAAUGGGCGCAAGCCUGAUCCAGCCAUGCCGCGUGAGUGAUGAAGGCCCUAGGGUUGUAAAGCUCUUUCAACGGUGAAGAUAAUGACGGUAACCGUAGAAGAGGCCCCGGCUAACUUCGUGCCAGCAGCCGCGGUAAUACGAAGGGGGCUAGCGUUGUUCGGAAUUACUGGGCGUAAAGCGCACGUAGGCGGAUACUUAAGUCAGGGGUGAAAUCCCGGGGCUCAACCCCGGAACUGCCUUUGAUACUGGGUAUCUCGAGUCCGGAAGAGGUGAGUGGAAUUCCGAGUGUAGAGGUGAAAUUCGUAGA